AGUGAACGCUGGCGGCAUGCCUAACACAUGCAAGUCGAACGGUAACAGGCCCGCAAGGGUGCUGACGAGUGGCGGACGGGUGAGGAAUACAUCGGAAUUUGCCCAGUCGUGGGGGAUAACGUAGGGAACUUACGCUAAUACCGCAUACGACCUAACGGUGAAAGCGGGGGACCGUGCAAGGGCCUCGCGCGGAUGGAUAAGCCGAUGUCGGAUUAGCUAGUUGGCGGGGUAAGAGCCCACCAAGGCGACGAUCCGUAGCUGGUCUGAGAGGAUGAUCAGCCACACUGGGACUGAGACACGGGCCCAGACUCCUACGGGAGGCAGCAGUGGGGAAUAUUGGACAAUGGGGGCAACCCUGAUCCAGCAAUGCCGCGUG
rnacentral:rRNA from 1 species